AAAUACACCUAUUACGACUAUUUGUUUUUGUGAGAAAAAAUUAUUGACUUUGUAUUUUGAUCGCAUUUGUACCGUAGACUUACAUGGAAACCGGAUAUGAAAACACCUAUACUGGAGCCAUCCGUAGUGGCGCUAGUGAGCAACCAAGAACUACAACACCAGGAAAUGAGCUUCAAAAACGAAGUCUGGUUUUGGCCGCUCGGUUGGCCAAAGCAACGCUAACCCUGAAUCUCGCCAAGUGUGAGUUUGGCAAAGCGACAGUAACGUACCUGGGAAAGCAAGUGGGUCAUGGCCAAGUUCGGCCAUUGGAAGCAAAGGUUGCUGCCAUUGCUGGUUUCCCUGCGCCUACUAGUAGGCGUGAGUUACGCCGUUUCCUCGAGAUGGCGGGAUAUUAUCGGAGUUUUCGUAGGAACUUCUUGUUGUUGUGGCACCCUUAACGAGUGCGCUUAGUAUUAGGAAACCUUUUAUGUGGACCUCAGACUGCCAAAAUGCUUUUGAGGCUGUUAAGCUUUUGCUAUGCAGUACGCCUGUACUCGCAGCUCCAGACUUUGCGCAACCGUUUAAGUUAGUGGUUGAUGCAAGAGCUCUAGGAGCUGGUGCAGUACUGCUGCAAGAAGAUCUAGAUGGAAUUGAUCACCCCGUCAGUUUCUUCUCGCGAAAAUUUAAUAAACACCAACUAAAUUAUAGCACCAUCGAAAAGGAAGUACUUGCGCUGUUAUUAGCCUUGCAGUUCUUCGAGGUGUACAUUGGCUCAAGUUCUACCCCUGUCGAGGUCUUUACAGACCAUAAUCCAUUAGUGUUUUUGUCACGAAUGUACAAUCAGAACCAGCGCCUUAUACAUUGGGCGCUGAUUCUACAACCAUAUAAUUUUGAUAUUCACCAUAUAUAAGGAACUGACAAUGUACUGGCUGAUACGUUGUCUCGUAGUUUUGGAUAACUAAAGCAUUUUGAAUACAUUUUGUGUGUAAUAGUGUGGUAACACAACUGUAUCUUGGCUUUAAAAAUAAAUAAAUAUAUCAUGUCAGGUGUUGAAUUGUGUAUAUGUAAGGGGGAAUUGGCACAAUGUGUGUACGCCUGUUUUAAAAGAAAGGGUAAUUAUGCACUUUGGAUAUUUUGCAUAUUUUCAAAUGGAAUGGUGUAUUACCAUGUGUGUGAACUAACUUUAAAAAAAUAAAUAAAUAAAUGUGUUAAGUUAGUUCUUGAGGGGGAAAGUGUUACGUGCCAUGUGUUUUUUUUUGUGUGGACUUCCCUGCCUUCACCUGCCAUCAUCUUCGUUGGCUGCGCCGCCUGUCAAUCACCAUCCACCAAGUCCCGCCUUCACCAAUCCCCGCCCUCUGUGUCAAUUCUGGAUCAACCAAUCAGAAUUCGCCACCACUGCUAUAUAAGCCUUGACUGUUUGCCAUGAUGGAUGGCUGACUUUCUGCUCUGUGUUGUGUUGGUAUUUGACUCUAUAUGUUAAUCAUUCAUUUGAACUUGUCUUGUUUUUGUGUACACUUCCAAGGCUUGGGACAGGUAAGACUGGGGGCUCCUGUACAUAUGCCCGUAGGCUAUGUUAUGUAUAGAUCCACUAGUACUUAGGGGUGAUUGCCAACCAAUUUGUUUUUCAGUCUGCUAGUUAGAGUAAAUAGGCUUUUGUUUGUGUACUUGAUACACUAGAUUAAAUUACUCUCUGGUUUAGCUAGCUUGUUUUUCUGUUCUUUUGGCAACAUCCAGCGUCCUUUGACCCUGGUAGUGUGUGUCUGGGUUGUUUUGUGUGUCCUGUAGUAGUUUGUUGCACCUUUUUUUGUUCAUACAGUAAAACACUCAUGCAUUGAG